UACGUAGGGUGCGAGCGUUAAUCGGAAUUACUGGGCGUAAAGCGUGCGCAGGCGGUUUUGUAAGUCAGAUGUGAAAGCCCCGGGCUUAACCUGGGAAUGGCAUUUGGGACUGCAAGGCUGGAGUGUGGCAGAGGAGACUGGAAUUCCUGGUGUAGCAGUGAAAUGCGUAGAUAUCAGGAGGAAUACCGAUGGCGAAGGCGGCAUCCUGGACCGGCAUUGACGCUGAGGCGCGAAAGCCAGGGGAGCAAACGGG
rnacentral:rRNA from 1 species